UACGUAGGUGGCGAGCGUUGUCCGGAUUUACUGGGCGUAAAGGGAGCGUAGGCGGACUUUUAAGUGAGAUGUGAAAUACCCGGGCUCAACUUGGGUGCUGCAUUUCAAACUGGAAGUCUAGAGUGCAGGAGAGGAGAAUGGAAUUCCUAGUGUAGCGGUGAAAUGCGUAGAGAUUAGGAAGAACACCAGUGGCGAAGGCGAUUCUCUGGACUGUAACUGACACUGAGGCGCGAAGGCGUGGGGAGCGAACGGGAUUAGAUACCCGCGUA
rnacentral:rRNA from 1 species